rnacentral:rRNA from 1 species
CGUGUAGGCGGCUUUUUAAGUGUGAAGUGAAAGUCCUGCUUUCAAGGUGGGAAUUGCUUUGCAAACUGGAGAGCUUGAGUGCGGAAGAGGUAAGUGGAAUUCCCAGUGUAGCGGUGAAAUGCGUAGAGAUCUGGAGGAAUACCGAUUGCGAAGGCAGCCCCCUGGACAGUGACUGACGCUCAUAUGCGAAAGCGUGGGGAUCAAACAGGAUUAGAUACCCGUGUA